UACGGAGGGUGCAAGCGUUAAUCGGAAUCACUGGGCGUAAAGCGCGCGUAGGUGGCUUGGUAAGUCGGAUGUGAAAUCCCAUGGCUCAACCGUGGAACUGCAUUCGAUACUGCCAGGCUUGAGUGCGGGAGAGGGUGGCGGAAUUCCCGGUGUAGGAGUGAAAUCCGUAGAGAUCGGGAGGAACACCAGUGGCGAAGGCGGCCACCUGGACCGUAACUGACGCUGAGGCGCGAAAGCGUGGGUAGCAAAC
rnacentral:rRNA from 1 species